GUCCUCGUAGCUCAGUAGGAUAGAGCGAUUGCCUCCUAAGCAGUAGGUCGCGCGUUCGAAUCGCGCCGAGGACG
rnacentral:tRNA from 1 species